GAAUCUGACGGACGUCGGCGCCAUGACGCGCCUCCUGCACGAGUGCAUCGCUUACCAGCGCUCCCUGGAUCUCAAUCUGGAGGCCCUCCACACGCAGCGCUCCGAUCAUGAUCGGCAGUUGAUCUCCCUUGAUCGGUCCUCCCAUCACCUGCUCUCCUCCGUGCGGUCGGACGCCGACCACCUGCUCGCCUCCGUCCGGUCCACCUCCGAUCUUGCCGACCGUGUUAGCUCCAAGGUCCGAGAACUUGACCUUGCGCAGUCGCACGUCCAGGCCACACUUUCCCGUAUUGAUGCCGUCGUCGAGCGCGGCCACUGCCUUGAUGGCGCUCGC
rnacentral:lncRNA from 1 species